rnacentral:lncRNA from 1 species
AUAAAAAAAGCAAGUUUUUGGUGCUAUUUUGGAAAUACAAGGGAAAAAAUCCUGUGAUUCUGUUACUCAUAAUGUUUAAAAGUAUUUUGUUUCUGAAAUGUCCAGUCUCUGCAUAUGAAAUUUAAAAAAAAAUGGAGUCAUAUAUACACAAUUUUGUAGGCUGCUUUGGGAACGUUUCUUUUCCAAGUGCCUGCUUGGAUUUCUACAUGCCUUACUGGGCUCUUUGAAAAUUGGAUUCCUCAUUCCAGAGACAGACACAGAUCCACAAGGAAUGCAGCUGUGUCAUGGAUAUGCCAACAUGCAUUUUCCUAGAAAUGCGAGACACUUCUUCAAAAUGUUAACUUUGCCUACUGAUUUGUGAAGGUUUAGAUAUUAGUAAUUAAGGACUGUUAAAAAUAAACUUUAAUGCAUAUUUUAGGAGGGAUAGUUGAAGAAGGAAAGCGCCUAGAAGGCCCAUUAAGUAGUUAAGGACAGAGUUGGCUCAAAGCCAGAAUUAUGAAGGUAUGAGGAAGGCAGUUAGCUGGGUUGGAAAGAUUUCAUCUCUCCUUCUAUGCAAAGAACAGAAUUGUUACUUAGCUGAGUGAUCAUAUGUAGGAAUCACCAGAGUUGGUUGGCUCUCUCAGUGGGGUUUAAAGUACAGUGUAAAUAGGGUAAACUCUUCAUUGUGGCAUCUAUAAAGCCAUUUACAUUCAGACAGCAAGUGAAGCAAAGCAAAUAAACUCUACUCUGGCUGGGAAUAAUUCUGCCCUGAUGAGGAAUCAGCUGGCUGGAGGAAUUUUGGAAGGGGUGAGGCAUACACUUUCUUCUAUGUUCCUGAAACCACAACAUUGUUAGGACUCAUCUGUUCAUGAGACCAGACCAAUAGAAAAUGAGCACUUCGUGGAUAAAAAAUACAGAUGGAAACUUAGUGAAAGAUCACUCUGACUGCUACAUGGAAAAUGUGCUGGGGAGAAACAAGACUGCAGGAAAUAAGAGCAGUGAACAAGCUCUUGCUGUAAUUCAAGUCAGGUGUAGAAGCUGGAGCUGGAGCAGCCAUUCUGAACUAUGUCGAAAAUCUACCUGGAAAUAAAAAGUUGACUCACCGAUUCACACCAUUUCCAUUUGUCUUGGUCUGGCUUUGGUGUCGGGGCAUUUCCAGUCUCAUAAAAUGACUUUGCGUAACACAUGGAAACUAAUGGUGUUCUACAAUUGCUGAAGCAAGUGUAACACUAAAGUAAACUCAAGGGAUCUUUUCUAUUUACGGGCCAAUGAGAUUUCUAACCUCCAGUCCUAGAAGAUGCCUUCAAGCCUGUGCCCUUUGUCAGCUUCAUGAAUUCACAAUAGUUUGUGAGUGUUUCAUUGUUGUUGUUGUUUUCUCUUAUUCUUUCUGUCCUUCUCCUGAGUGGCAUUUAUGGGCUUUUUGGGAACAGAUCUUUAUAGACAUAAGGCUAGAGUUAGGAUGUCUUGGGAAGAUUCACUAAAAAAUGUAAAACCACCAACACAGUGCCACCCUUUGUUUCACGUAUUUGAUCAAAUAAGCUAGUCUGUUUUCAAUGACCGUGCUGUAUUUUUAACAAAAAAACAACGACCAAAAAGUCAAUAUUCCUAUAGUGUUUAUCUGGCACUUACCAUAUUAUGAGGGCAAAGGCAGAUGGAUAGCGUUCUAAAUGAGUACUUCAGGAGGAUGAGAGGAGGGCUUGGAGGAAUGACAGUCCAUCACUGCAGAUGUGUACUAAACCCUGCCAUGUUUAACAGGCCUGUAGAUUAAAAUUUAACAUGCUGCGUCUCCCACAUCAGGUUAGGUGGAUGGUUGAGCCGGAGUGAUAUUAUCGGCUCUAUUAGAAGGCCUCUCAUGAACCGAGUGGUGGUUUUAAUUAAAUCCAGUAGGUUGAGAGAAGUGGUUUGGCAGUUUCAAUUGAUUUAUUGUGUUUAUGACAUCUGGGCCUGAUUUAUUGUAUUAUUAACACACAGAAUUGUUUUUGGACACUCACCCUACAUAUUUUCAUUCUGGUUUGGGGGACUCAUAGCCUAUAAGUAUGUAGCAUUUUCAUUCUACUAUGAUUUUAGUUUUCUGUUUGUCUCUUUUUGUUUUUCUUAUAUUGGUAGGGUGGUGAACUGUUGAAUUCGUUUUGUAGAGUCUCUGUGGGUUUGUGUGCCUGAACAGGUCUGCUUGAACAGUAGUACUGGGUUGGAGUUGAUUAUCAUUAUCUGACCUAAGUUCAUGGAGCGACAAAGUGAGAGAGAUUGACAGUUUUUUAAUGUAGUUUAUGAAUUGCCAAACUAUUUGCUCCAUGUUAUGGUUUUCUAAAUUUUUUAAGUUUGGGCCUUGGAUAUAAAUAUGAAUACCAUGUCAUAGAACGUUUGUUUCCAAUUAUCUGAAAGUGGUGAGCAUAUUCAGCUGGACGUUAUAGACAAGUGUUGCCCAGUCCAAAUUUUAUAGCAGUCAAGUACAUUUUAGAAAGUAUCCACUUCAAACUCCACAAAGCAUGUGUAAAAAGAGAGAAAAGGGAAGAAUUAAGCUACAAUUUCUGCCAUACAGGAAGGGCAGAGAAGUAAGCAGGUCCCAAUCAACCUACAUGUCUUGUUAAUCUAUGACUGAGUGGUUGCCCAUUCCAGUUAUAGAUGCUAUGAUAACUCAU